rnacentral:rRNA from 1 species
GCUGGCGGCGUGCCUAACACAUGCAAGUCGAACGAGAAAGUGGAGCAAUCCAUGAGUAAAGUGGCGACCGGGUGAGUAACACGUGACCAAUCUACCCUUGAGUGGGGGAUAACCUCGGGAAACCGGGGCUAAUACCGCAUAACAUCCUUGGAACGGAAGUACUGGGGAUCAAAGGAGCAAUUCGCUUAAGGAGGAGGUCGCGGCUGAUUAGCUAGUUGGCGGGGUAAUGGCCCACCAAGGCAAAGAUCGGUAGCCGGCCUGAGAGGGCGCACGGCCACACUGGAACUGAAACACGGUCCAGACUCCUACGGGAGGCAGCAGUGGGGAAUUUUGCGCAAUGGGGGAAACCCUGACGCAGCAACGCCGCGUGGAGGAUGAAGUCCCUUGGGACGUAAACUCCUUUCGACCCGGACGAUAAUGACGGUACGGGUGGAAGAAGCCCCGGCUAACUUCGUGCCAGCAGCCGCGGUAAUACGAGGGGGGCAAGCGUUGUUCGGAAUUAUUGGGCGUAAAGGGCGCGUAGGCGGUGCGGUAAGUCACCUGUGAAACCUCUAGGCUUAACUU